GCGCCCGUCCGCCUGGAGCGGCUCGACAGCGUGGAGCGCCGCCAGACAUGGGUCCAGGUGCUCGGACGCGAGCUGGUGCAGCUGGUGCUCUCCCGUGACUGGCAGAUGAGAGAUUCUGGAAUUCAUCGCCUGGCUGAGGAGCUCACCGGCAUCGUGCGCCGGCCGAGCAGCAGGUCCGCGGAGGAGCUGCUGCACUGUCUGGCCGACCUGCUGGCCACACUCUGCGCCGAUCCCGUCCACAAGGUGUUCCUCGGAGCCAUCAAGUGUCUGCGGCUGCUGCUGCAGCACGUCCGGCCGUGCGCGGC